CCUCUAUCGGCGAGGCAAAGGCCCGAUCGACGUAUUCAAGUCGGGUUUGCGAGGAGGACCAGAACGAGCUUGAAAUUGGAGACAUCCUCGACAAGUACGGCUUCAAAUUGGUCUCUUCCGCCAUAGCUCCCAUCGGUCAGUGGCACAGCCAGCCACCUCCAAGUCCACAGCAGCGAGUCAGUCUAGGAGGGCAUACCUGACGUUCUUAGCCGGAGACGGUGACUACGUGAAGGUCGUGGUGGGGCUCGCAAAGGGCCUGAGGAAGGAGCACCGACGUGUGUUGGUGGCUCAGGGAUGUAUAGUCCGACAGAUCGAACCAGCGUACCCAACCGACAAUGGGACAAAGUUCGCCUGGGAUCAACUACUCCAAGCUUCACAUCUGGGGGGUAACUCUUUAUCUCUAAUUUUUAUACAAUGAAACACAAUAAAUUAUUUAGGGUGUGUUUGGUAAUGUUUAUGUUUUCAGUUUAUAUUUACAAAAUAUUUA